GCCCGGAUGGUGAAACUGGUAGACACAAGAGACUUAAAAUCUCUCGCUCGUAAGGGUGUGCCGGUUCGAUUCCGGCUCUGGGCACCA
rnacentral:tRNA from 1 species